rnacentral:rRNA from 1 species
CCUACGGGUGGCAGCAGUGGGGAAUAUUGGACAAUGGGCGAAAGCCUGAUCCAGCCAUGCCGCGUGUGUGAAGAAGGCCUUCGGGUUGUAAAGCACUUUCAGUGGGGAAGAAAGCCUUGGGGCUAAUACCCUCGAGGAAGGACAUUACCCACAGAAGAAGCACCGGCUAACUCCGUGCCAGCAGCCGCGGUAAUACGGAGGGUGCGAGCGUUAAUCGGAAUUACUGGGCGUAAAGCGCGCGUAGGCGGUCUGAUAAGCCGGUUGUGAAAUCCCCGGGCUCAACCUGGGAACGGCAUCCGGAACUGUCCGGCUAGAGUGCAGGAGAGGAAGGUAGAAUUCCCGGUGUAGCGGUGAAAUGCGUAGAGAUCGGGAGGAAUACCAGUGGCGAAGGCGGCCUUCUGGACUGACACUGACGCUGAGGUGCGAAAGCGUGGGUAGCAAACAGGAUUAGAUACCCCAGUAGUC